CCCCCAGAAAAAUUUUAAGCCCGAUCGGAGAACUUUUUUUUUGGUUUAGGCUCUUUUCAAAUGGAAUUGCUGUAUAUAUAUAACUUAUAUUAAGCUUAAAAAAGUUUUUUUAUUUAUGUUCGACGCGCAUACGACAUUUUCGAAAGCAACGCGCUUAAAACUUGGUUCGAUCUUGGGUAGAUUUUGACUUCACUCGCUUUAUAUGUGGAUGACAGUCGUGACGCGUUGACCGUGAUGAGCAGAGUGGCAGGUUGGUCGGAUUUGUUCCGGAGAAAAACGCGUAGUUUAACAAAACUAAACUGGAGGACUUUAUUGAACCGCGUGCUUUUGUAACGGAUGACGCAACACAUUUGUUGUUGUUGUUUUGCAGCUCUGACAGCUGCGCGUGAGGUCGACAGGGGGUUCGGCCGACUAGGUCGACUCGAUGACGACUACAGGGUUGUUCAUCUCAACAGACCGAGCGUUAAAGAUUCCUUUUCAAACCUUUUCAGCGUUAACUUUCUCCUUUCCGCUUUAUCUUGCUUUAAUGCGCGUUAACCGUGUUAACUUGCUUUUUGGUUUACCUUGUUUUGCGUUCACACAUCAAACUGCACGAUUUUUUGACAGCUUGAACUGUUUAGAGCAACUUAGGGGAAAUUUUCGUAUGUUUGGCAGUGCUGACUAUUUAGUAAAGUUUUAGUAAAUUUUCAUCAACUUAAAUUUCAGUAACCGAUUUAGCAACUUAGAUAUUACUGAAUUUUCAGUUAAAUCAAGCAAAACAUUGUAAUAGGGCCGAAGCCAAAGUGUAAACAAAGGACCUACCCUGCUCACGUCAGUUGAUGUUUACAUUAGAAACAAGCAGGAUAGACUCUUUGUUUACACUUCGGUUUCGGCCUUAUUACAAUGUUAGAUGAUUUACUGUAAUUUCAGUAAAAUGGUUGUCAAAAUGACUGAAAUUUCAGCAAAAGAAACGUCAUUAUAUUUUGCUGAAAAUUCAGUAAUUUCUUGUGUCAGUUUGACAGAUCAUUUGCUUAAGAUUUAGCUAUCGUUGUAGAUAUUUAGGUGUCAAACCAUCGGAGUUGGAGUGUACAUUCAAAAAACUGUCUCACGACUGACUUUAAAAAUUUGUUCAACUUCCAUUUUGACAGUUCGUUUAAGAAGAUUUUGCUCCAAUCUCACCGAACAAAUCUACAGCGCAGAACAUCCACACAACGAUACACACAAACAAAUAUGCCAAGGUUUCUGCUCUCUUUCAUAACUUGCAUCCGUGAAAAUCGAACCACAAACACACACACAAACUAGCACGAACACAACUCACUCACUCAUGCAUGACUGGUCACACCAUCCGAGGCCAAAGCGUAUAGGAAUGUGCGAACAAAAAAAAAAUCGCAACCAAAAUGGAACUGAAACUUUUUUAUGUGAAUUUUGUCAACAAGAAAACCUGGACACAAAAACAAAACAACUCACACAGUGUAGGCCCCGGUUAUCGGCAGCCGAGAACCAAAAUUUAACCAGUCAAGUUUGGAUCGCAAAAAAAGGGGGGAAACAAAGUGGAAAUUCUUACUCAACAAUAAUGCCGAAUGUUAUGUAUAGAAAAAGGUGUUCCCAAAAUGCAGAGUAAAACCAAAAAAAAAGCAUAACAAUAAAGCAAACGGAUGCUAACACUGGAUGUCGAUGUAUAUUGUAAAUACGGAAGCGAAAACAGAAGAAAUGGAAGAAAGUAUAUAUGGUAAUUAUUAGAUGUUUAUAUAUUGAAGAGCAUAAGUGGAUGAAUAUACAUAUAUAUAUUGAACAAAAAAAAAAGGUUGGUGGAUGAAA